GUUGUUGCAGUUAAAAAGCUCGUAGUUGAACCUUGGGUCUGGCUGGCCGGUCCGCCUCACCGCGAGUACUGGUCCGGCUGGACCUUUCCUUCUGGGGAACCUCAUGGCCUUCACUGGCUGUGGGGGGAACCAGGACUUUUACUGUGAAAAAAUUAGAGUGUUCAAAGCAGGCCUUUGCUCGAAUACAUUAGCAUGGAAUAAUAGAAUAGGACGUGCGGUUCUAUUUUGUUGGUUUCUAGGACCGCCGUAAUGAUUAAUAGGGAUAGUCGGGGGCGUCAGUAUUCAGCUGUCAGAGGUGAAAUUCUUGGAUUUGCUGAAGACUAACUACUGCGAAAGCAUUCGCCAAGGAUGUUUUCAUUAAUCAGGGAACGAAAGUUAGGGGAUCGAAGACGAUCAGAUACCGUCGUAGUCUUAACCAUAAACUAUGCCGACUAGGGAUCGGGCGGUGUUUCUAUGAUGACCCGCUCGGCACCUUACGAGAAAUCAAAGUUUUUGGGUUCUGGGGGGAGUAUGGUCGCAAGGCUGAAACUAAAGAAAUKACGAACGUWCCAACMAWAUGC
rnacentral:rRNA from 1 species